rnacentral:rRNA from 1 species
CAAAANCAUAGCUUCCGGAAACUAUAAGAAGUAACGUCUGCCCAGUGACCAAGUUAAACGGCCGCGCUAGUGCUAAGGUAGCAUAAUCAUUUGCCUUUUUAUUGAAGGCUAGUAUGAAUGGAUUAACGAAGCUUAACUGUCUCUAAUUAUAAAAAUAAAAUUGAUUUAAAGGUGAAAAAGCCUUUAUUCCGGUGGAGGACGAAAAGACCCUAUAGAGUUUGUAGUGUAAUAACGUCAUAUUAAACCAAACGUAAUGCACUUUUAUUGGGGCAAUAAAAGAACAAACAAAACUCUUAAAUUAUUCAAUUGCAAUAGCAAUUUUAAGAUCCUUAAAAAGAAUCAAGAAAAACUACCUUAGGGAUAACAGCGUAAUUCUACCUGAGAGAACUAAUCGAAGGAAGGGUUUGCGACCUCGAUGUUGGACUAAGGUAACACUUAAGUGCAGAAGCUUAAAAAGUAGGCCUGUUCGGCCUUUAAUACCUUACAUGAUUUNG